GAUGAACGCUGGCGGCGUGCCUAAUACAUGCAAGUCGAGCGAACAGACGAGGAGCUUGCUCCUCUGACGUUAGCGGCGGACGGGUGAGUAACACGUGGAUAACCUACCUAUAAGACUGGGAUAACUUCGGGAAACCGGAGCUAAUACCGGAUAAUAUAUUGAACCGCAUGGUUCAAUAGUGAAAGACGGUUUUGCUGUCACUUAUAGAUGGAUCCGCGCCGCAUUAGCUAGUUGGUAAGGUAACGGCUUACCAAGGCAACGAUGCGUAGCCGACCUGAGAGGGUGAUCGGCCACACUGGGACUGAGACACGGUCCAGACUCCUACGGGAGGCAGCAGUAGGGAAUCUGCCGCAAUGGGCGAAAGCCUGACGGAGCAACGCCGCGUGAGUGAUGAAGGUCUUCGGAUCGUAAAACUCUGUUAUUAGGGAAGAACAAAUGUGUAAGUAACUAUGCACGUCUUGACGGUACCUAAUCAGAAAGCCACGGCUAACUACGUG
rnacentral:rRNA from 1 species